CGCGCAGGCGGUCGAUUUAGUCGCGUGUGAAGGCCCCCGGCUCAACUGGGGAGGGUCACGCGAUACUGAUCGACUCGAAGGCAGGAGAGGGUAGUGGAAUUCCCGGUGUAGUGGUGAAAUGCGUAGAUAUCGGGAGGAACACCAGUGGCGAAGGCGACUACCUGGCCUGUUCUUGACGCUGAGGCGCGAAAGCUAGGGGAGCAAACG
rnacentral:rRNA from 1 species